rnacentral:lncRNA from 1 species
CGGGAGACCGCGGAUGGGCAGGGUCUGCGAAGGGGCGGCGGCCGGCAGGGACAAUGGGCACAGCUGCUGGCGAACGGCCCGGCCCUUCGCCGGCUGCAGCGGACACGUGUCGGUCGCUGCGUUUGGAGGGACGGACUUAAUGGUGGCCUCGCAGCGGGCGGAGCGGGACAGGUUUGCAAAGCAAAGCCCUCCCCGCAGGAUCUGGGGCUCACUCUGGCCCGGGAGCCCAGGACCGGAGGCCCAGGAAAGGGCGCAGGGGCACAGGACGCCCGGGACCCGCCCCUCCGGGUAGGGUCUGGGGGCGGAAAUCCUUCCUGGGACCCCCCAGCGGCGAGUGGGGACCGGACGCGGGUCCCGACCUGUGCCGGCGCUCACCUGGUGGCCCGCUCGGAGGCGGCGGCAGGCAAAGAUCCCCUUCCCCCCGCUGCUCCGGGAGGCGGGCGGGGGCUCCCCGGAUCGGCCCCCCAGGGAGCCCCGGGGCGGGCGGUCCUCCCCCGGGGGUGCUGGCGGCCGCGGCGGCUCUGGAUGCGGCCCGCCCUCCUCGGGCGGCUGUGCCGGCGGGCGGGACCCGGGAGCGCGGCGGGCGCCGGGCCGGGCCCAGCUGCCACGAGGCGGGCGGGGACCAGAGCCAGCCCCGCGCUCCCGGGUCUGGGGGCCCGCCCCUCGGGGAGCCUGCGCGGUCCCCACGUGGGGACCUGCGGCCCCGGCGCCCCGCGAUCUGACACCUGGGUCCCCGGCGCCCAGCCCGCCGCCUCCUCUGGGGACGCCCCCGGUUCCCCCAGGACCCCCAGACCCGGGUUUCUUUCUCACCCCGGCCUCCCGCCUCCAGCCGCCUCCGCCAUUCGCAACACCUCCCCACCAUCUGUCCCCUGCUCUUACGUGGCUUAGCUGAGACUGUGACGCUGGGCCUGGUUUGAAACACUGGAUCAGAGUUCCUCCCGCGGGGAUCCUCUCUAACUUACAUCGUGUCCCCAGAGCCUCGGAAACCCGGCCUGCUCCCACGCUGAGCCUCGCUACCCCGCUUACUUCUCUGCGGCCGCGACAACCUGUGCCCCCUGCUUUGGAAACCCGCCUCCCCCGCCUGUAUGACACACAACUGGAUUAACCCGAGGUUCAGGGCCAGCGAGGCCGAGGCCACCAGCUAUUUGUCCCCUGCCCUCUGCCCUUGGGCCCGCACCGUUCCUGCAUUGCCCUAGAUUGUCCAAAGGUCCUCAAGUGACUGCUCUCAGACAUCCCAGGGCCGGUCCCCUGAAUGCCAGGCCGCCCACCACGAGUAAAGCCUCGCUGGCACUCGCUCAUGGUGUGCACUGUGCGCGAUGCUUUAUAGGCACGACCCCAGGGACGCUCUCCUGGGAAACUGAGGCCCAGAGAAAUGUAGGCUCUGCACCCGGUGCAAGUCGCUUGCUUGGGGGGAGGGGGGGUGGUCACACGACAGGAAAGUGUUCGGGCGUGGGUUCCCCGGUCCCCUCCGCUAGGAGCUUCUGCAAGGGACCCCAGCGCCAUUGCCAGGACCGCGUGGGAUCCCGCGUGCAGCGCCGAGGGAUCCUUACCUCUCCGUCACCUGGACCCACCGCCUUUCCGAGCAUUUCUGUCGCAGAAGGCGAUAGGAGGCAUAUACCGUACACAGAGUUCUGCAAUAGUCCCAGCAGAGUGACGGCCGUGCUCCGUGAUCUCGCGAUGUUUCUGCUUCAAAGCGCGUCUGGAGAGGAGCACACGCGUAGCGGAGGAAUAGAAGUUAUAAAUCCCCCCGAUGUCGCUUCAGUCGGGUCUUACUGGGUGGAGAGCUGGGGGCCUAAUUGGUGAAGAAAGUUUGCUUGCGGACUGGAGAUAAUAGCAAUGACUUUUUCUUUCUUUUAUUGAUACCAUCAAUAAGCGCCUGCUGUGCACCAGAUGCAGACCGCAUGGAUGAUGUGGGUUUACAGGCACCAUGCGAUUUAUGUCAAUAAAGGAUACCAGCUUAUUUUAGAUGAGUUAGAAAAAUCACAGGGGACUCCAGUAAAAUAAUUGGAUCAUCAAAGGAUGCUAAAACCAUUGGUAAAGGUUGUUGCGGAACAUUCUAGAAUCAUCCCCCCCCCCAGAUGACUUAUUCAUUACAAAGGGGAAAAAAUGUACCUACCUAGUGAGGGGGAGUGGGUUCUGGCAGACACCCUCUUAACCGAGUGAUCAAUAUCCCCAAAGUGGGACAGCGUGACAUCAAGUCAAGUGCCUCUUGAUGUGAAACUAUAGGAAGUACACAAAAGUGCCUAUGCGGAACUCUUGUAAAAAAAAAAAAAAAAAGCUAAACCUGUGUUUAGUAAUGAAGGAUAUACCCAAGAUAACUGGCCAGGGCUUUUUUCAAAAAAAGAGACGUAACACCCAAAUGCGGUGUGCACGGUGACCGGGUCCCGGCUGGGCCGUUCGCUCUGGGUGCUCUCUUGCUCUGCUGGUUUCUUCUCCUGUCUGGUGCUGCUCUCCUGCUCCUAGCCAUUCUCCAAGGAGAGGCGAGGCCACUGCCUGGAGGUGAUGGCGGUGUGCUUUCUGCUGGAAGCCUGGGCCUGUUUUCCUCUGCCCUUGAGUUGGAGCAUGAAUGGCAGCUUUGUGGCCGGGUGUGGGGCUAGCCGCCAGGCUGGCCUCACAUGUGGGUUGGUGAGGCCAGGAGCCCACUUCCUGCCACCCCUCCCUUCUACCACAAGUGCCAGAAGAGGACUGGCUUUUUUAAGAAGCCAGCCCCUCCCUCGUUCCCACCUCAGCUGUCAGAGAGUUGGGUCUUCUUAGGGAUCCACCCUGCAGUCCUUGUUUUCCUCGACGUGAGUGGGGGGUGGCCUGUGCCCUGGAGAAAGGGGACGUGGGAUGGUGCACAAAAUGCAGGCAGGCUGUCAUCGGGGCCGUCUUGGCUAUCUUUUCUCACUCCUGCCUCCUCCCCACAACCCAGGUGAUGCUGGGUUCCCUCUUGCGGGCAGCCCUCUCCUGAAUGACCUCUGAUUCCUGUCCCCACGCCUCUACCUGAUUUGUCUGCCAGAACUGUGUGGGCAUCUCCCCAGUGGAGAUGGUCUCUGUGGGUCAUUGACUAAUGGUCCCCUAAAGAUGUCCACGCCUGGAUCCUUGGAACCUGCGAAUGUUCCCUUACAUGGCAAAAGGGAUAUUGCAGAUGGAGGAGGUGAAGGAUCUUGAAACGGGGAGGUUAACCUGGUUUCUCUGGGCGGGUCCUGAAUGGAAUCCCAGUGGUCCUCCUAAGAGGGGGACAGGAGGAGGCGGGGAUGGCAGUGGACAACAGAAGCAGAGAUUGCAGUGACGAGAUGUGAAGAGCGAGGAAGAGGCCACCAGCCCAGGAAGAAAGGUGGAAGAAACCAGGAAGAAAGGUGGCCGCUAGACACUGAAAAAGGCAAGGACACGGAUUCCCCACUCAGCAUCUCCAGAAGGGACCAACCGGGCCAACACCUUGACUUCAGCCCAGUGAAACUGACUUGGAACUUUUAACUCCCAGAACGCUAAAAGAAUACAUUGUGUUGUUUUAAGGCACUAAGCUGAUGGCAAUUUGUUCCAGCAGCCACAGGAAAGAACACAGUCUCCUUCUCAAUCUUUUUGCCGUUGUCAGUUGACUUGCUUUUUUAUUCCACUGCUUUAUACAAAUGAGAGAGUGUAAGGACACUCUGAGAUGGCGGGCUCCGGGUCAGACCUUAUCUCUUGGUGACACCCCUAAUUCCUGAGCUCCCCAAGGCAAGUCUCUGUGUUGUCAGUUUCCUUAUGGUGUGAGGAUCAAGUCGGACGAUGCCGAAGUCACGGGUUGGCAGCCUCCAGUUUAGAGUAGACCCACAGGUAUGUUUUGUGUCACUUUCAGUUUUGUAAAGUUUCUCAUUGUAUUUCUUUUGAAUAGGAGAAUACAUUUACACUGUGUACAAUUUAAAAAGUAUAAAAAGAGGUUUCCAGUGCUAAUCUCUCUUCUACUGCUGCCCUCAGCUACUCCAGGUUUUCCCUCGAUUCUGAUAGAUUCUUGCAGAAAUUUUCUAUAUGUAGACCAGGAAUUUCACACACACACACUGUAAACAGUAACAUACCAUAUACUCCUUGUUCGACACUUUGCUUUUAUCAUUUCAUAUAGUUUGGUGAUCUUUCCAUAUCACUACAUAGAGAACUGCCUUCUUUCUUUUUUACUUUUUUUAGGUAUGCCCCCCCCCCUUUUUUUUUUUUUGGUGAGGAAGAUUGGCCCCGAGCUGACACCUGUUGCCAGUCUUCCUGUAUUUUGUAUGUGGGAUGCUGCCACAACAUGGCUGACAAGUGGUGUAGGUCUGUGCCUGGGAUCUGAACCCACAAACCUGGGUCACUGAAGCAGAGUGCACUGAACUUUAACCACGAGGUCAUGAGGCCAGCCCACAAUCUGACCACUUUUCAGUGUACGAUUCAGUGGCAUUAGUUACAUUCAUAAUGCUUUGCAACCAUCACCAUUAUCUCCUUCCCAAAUUUUUUGUCAUCUUAAACAGAAGCUCUACCCAUUAAGCAAUAACUCCCCAUUCCUUUCUCCCUCCAGCCCCCAUAACCUCUAACCUCCUUUCUGUCUCUAUGACUUGGCCUAUUCUGGAUAGUCCACAUUUGUGGAAUCAUACAACAUCUGUCCUUUUGUGUCUGGCUUCUAUCACUUAGCAUCACGUUUCCAUGGUUCAUCCAUGUGGUGGUAGCGUGCAUGAGUACUUCAUUCCUUUUUAUGGCUGAAUAAUAUUCCCUGGUGUGGAUAGACUGUAUUUUGUUUAUCCAUCCCCAGCUGAUGGAUGCUUGGUUUGUGUCCACCUGUUGGCUUCUGUGGAGAAGGCUGCUAGGAACAUUCACCUACAUGUAUCUGCUUCAGUCCCUGUUUUCGGUUCUUCGGGGUAUAUACACCUAGGAGUGGAAUUGCUGGUCCACGUGGUUAUGUUAAUUCUAUGUGUAACUUUUUAAAGACCAGUCAAAACGGUUUCCCACAGAGGCUGCACCAUUCUACACUCCCACCAGCAACGUACGAGGGUUCCAGUUUCUCCACAUCCUCCCCAACACUUAUUUUCCUUUUUAUUAUUAAUUAUUAUUAUUAUAGCCAUCCUAUUAGAUGUGAAGUGGUGUACAAUCUCAGCUUUUAUUCUCAUCAACCAUUAAGAUCUGGAAUAUCCAGCCCCUAUACGUUUGCCAAUUGAAUGUGUUAUCAAAUACUUUAAAUCUUUGCCUAAGAAGUGAAAAAUGGUAACUCACCGUCCAUCGUCUUAUUUUGCAUUUGUCUUGUGAUGAGGAAAUUGAGCAUCUUUUCUUGUGUUGAAGAACCACUUGCAUUUCUUUUCCCACGAUUUGUCUGUUAAUCAGCCUUUGCCCACUUUUCUGUGGUUCUGGCUCACGGGCUAUGUUUUAAAAAUACUGUAUUGGUUGCAAACCCUGAAAAACCGCAGGGCUGAUGUCACACAAAAGUCCAACUUUUAUCUCCAGCUUCCCUUGGAAACAGAAAGGCCCGGCAGCUUGAUUUGCACUCUCACGUGGAGCGAGUGGCUGGAAGAGGGGCCCCCUGUGGGAUCCACCGUCUCCCGCUGUCAUCGUCCCCACCCUGAGCUGUGGCGUGCCUGGGCUCUCACCCAUCACCAUACCUGCCUGGCCCUGUGGGCAUUGAUGGUGGCAGCUCCCGAGAUAAUCUUUUCAAAGCUCUUAGCCCAGAGCCCGGCCCUGCAGACCACGAUGCUGUGAGCAGAGGAAGGGGAUCUCAAAAACAGAGGCAGCUGGUCUCGUGUCAGUGAUGGCGCUUCAGGGACCAGUGAAUAAACUAGAGCGACAACUGCACGGCGAGGAUGUGCACAUUUGUCUUUGUUUUUGUCUUUUUUGAGGAAGAUUAGCCCUGACCUAACAUCUGCCAUCAAUCCUCCUCUUUUUGCUGAGGAAGACUGGCCCUGAGCUAACAUCCGUGCCCAUCUUCCUCUACUUUAUAUGUGGGAUGCCUGCCACAGCAUGGCUUGACAAACAGUGCCAUGUCUGCACCUGGGAUCUGAAUCGGUGAACACUGGGCCAGCCUGAGGAUGAGCACAUUCGGAGGGCAGAGAGUUAACAUGCAAAUGCAUUUCAGGUAGAGGAGUCUUCUGAAUGACGAAGGCAAGUUGCAAGGGGUGGGAUUUACGACAUGCUACCCCGAAAUAUGGCAUAUUGGAUAUUUUAAGCUGAAAGAGUUUGAGAAAAUGGCAGAAGCUGGAAUUAGAGACUGGGUCUUUAAUUAAAUUAAGACUGGGUCCUAAGAGUAAAUUUAAGAGCAAAGGAACACUUCUUCCUCCCCUACUCAAGAAACCCAUUUGGGGAACACAGAGAACACCAGCGCAGAUGGAGGCGUGGUGUCGGUGUAGGCUCAUGCGCUCGUGCACAGAUACAGACACACGCACUCGGAUCUGUAGGUGCACACGCAGAGGAAGCAUCGAGAAAAUAUUCUCAGCGCACGCCCCGCCCGGAGAGAGCCCCGCCUGCAGGCCCGGGCUGGGUUCUCCGCUCUGCCGGGGGCGCCGUGCGCACUAACGUCGGUGCUGUGGGUAGUUGGCACUGGAGUUGGCGAUUGGGACCAAGUAUCGUGUGCCCACUCUCUCCCUCCCUCAGCCCCGUGUAAAUGUCCCAACGUCCUCUCCCCGGAUCCUCCAUGGCUGCCAGGACAAACUCGAUGCUUUAAAACAACACAUGUUUCUUCUAUGCGGUUCUGGAGGUCAGAAGUCCAAAUUCAGCUUCACCGGGCGAGGAGGCAGGGCGUCGGCAGGGCCGCCUUCCUUCUGAGGCUCCGGGGAGAAUCCGCUCCGGCCUCUGGGGCGGCCGGCUCUCCUUGGCUUGUGGCUGCAUCGCUCCAGUCUCUGCCGCCCUCGUCGUAUUGCCCGCUCCUGUUCUGCAGCUGAGGCUCCCUCUGCGUCCCUUGUAAGGACUUGUGAUCACGUGUAGGGCCACCUGGAUAAUCUGGGCUGGCGUCCCCAUCUCAAGACCCUGUGAAGGCCCUUUUGCCGUAUAAGGUAACAUCCCCAAGUUCCAGGCAUUAGGACCUAGAUAAUUUUGGGGGCCAUUAUUCAGCCUAUCACAAACCAUAGAUCUUUUAUAAUACGAGUAGUCAUGAUCCUAAUAGUUGUCAGACAGUAAUGUUCCAUCAUUAUUAGCUCUCAAAUCUCAUGUGCCCGGUGCUGGGCUUAGAGAUCCAGGCCCGCUGUCUCAUCGAAGCUUCCUGCAAGCUCCCAUCACCAUCCCAAAGAUACAGGCGAAGACAACACAGGAGAGGGAGGAGCUGGAUUGGGCCGGGAGCCCGUGGCCACCAUCCUGGGCUGACCCCCUUAGGAGUGCAAGAAUCCCAGUUCCCCUCGGAUGCCCCCUUCCCUGGGGGGGUUUCCUGAGUCUUUGCGUAUGUUGGAUCUUACAAAUCCACUCAUUGAGGUGUUGGCCCCUUCACGAACUCCUCCUGCCAUCAUUUUGUGAUGCUGGCCCGCCUCCGCAGGAGCUGCCCAGCUGAAGCAGAGAACUGAGGACCGCGGGGUCCUCUCCGUGCCAGCGCACUGCGGGGACUCUGCAAACCAUGGUCACGCCCACACAGAUAAUACCUCCAGGCGAGCGCUGGGCAUGGUUUUCUCUGAGGCAGUUUGUGCCGGAUCUCGAGGCUGCAACCUGGAUGUCCUUUGAAGACCCGGACUUAGGAAGAAAGGGAGCCGGUGGCUUUUGUCAAGCUGGCCACCUGGGGGACCGGGAGUCUGUGGGUUGCCAGAGGGCUAAUGGCUUAUGAGAAGACAAUCUGAAAAGCAGUGUAUGAAUCUCAGAUCUCUUGCAAAGAAAUCUAGCCUUUCCUGGGGCAAAGACAGAGGAGAGCAGUGUUUACAGCUGAUGGUGUGUGUGCCUGGGGUGGGUUGCCCUACGACUUACAGGAGACAAAAUGUGUUUAUUACCAACUGUAAUAUGUUUUCGGGAAAAAACUAAAAACACGUGCCAGGCACACCAAACUAUAAGAUCUUGGUUAUUAUUGAUCAAAAUGAGGCUAAUUAAAAAAAGAAAAAGAGCAUGUUGAUUAAAAGAUGAUGUGGGGGUUUGGGAAAAGCCGACAUUUCGCUGUUCUAACAGAGAUGCAAGUUGGAAGUUUAUUUUGCUCUCCCCAUUGGUCUCCAGGUUGACGAAAUGACUCUGCUCCACAGAGUCAGUCAGGGACCCUGGUUCCUUCUAGGUGUUGGUCUUGUCUGUGUGGUCAGAGGGCUUGUUGUUGCUACCACAGCCCACUGCCUGUGCCUGGCUGCAAGGGAGUAUGGGAAAUAGAGACUUUCUUUCCGGGCGGGGUAAUAGAAUCU